rnacentral:rRNA from 1 species
ACGAAUACACAACCUUCUCUAGAUAAUACAGCAUGUAUACUGCCGUUGUAAGCACACCCCUAAAAGAAUAGUGUGCCGCUAUGACUAAUAAAAGCUCAUAUACAUCAGGUCAAAGUGCAGCCAAUAAGAAGGAGAUGAUGGGUUACAACCCAAAAAAAGACUAUCAACCAAGAAAUAAAAAAUCUUAAGAAAGUGGACUUGACCGUAAUUAAUUUACAAGUUAAAAAAAUGAAUGAUAUCUAAGACAUGCACACAUCGCCCGUCACUCUAUCCAAAAGGUUAGAUAAGUCGUAACAAAGUAGGUGUAAUGGAAAUUGUACCUGUCGAAGUAUAGCAUAUAUAAUGCUUUUUAUUUACACUAAAAACAAAGUUAAGUAACUUACUCCGCCCACACACUAUAGCCCUAUAAAUUAUAUAUAAUAAAAACACCUAAAUAAAACCAAACAUUAAAAUAAACAGUACAGAAAUGGAAAUACUAAUAAAUAAUAGUAAUUUUUAAAAGAUGUACCUUGUGCAUUAUGGUUUUACAAGAAAAUUAUUAAAAAUACUAAUCCCGAAUUCUAAAUGAGAUGUUAAAUUGCUGUUAGGAACCCACUAAUUGCUGUAGAAAAAGCUUUAAAAGACAAUUUAACAGAGGCUACAUACCAUACGCAUGAGAAUAUAGCUGGUUUUCAACAAACAUUAUAUAUUAAAACAUAUAAUUAAAUUAUAGUGUAAUAUUAUUGAGGAUAAGCCCAAUAAUUAAAGUAAUAAAUACAAAUAAUCCGUUUAUACUCCUAGGCCUAGAACCAGCCAACAAAAGUACUUUACCGUAACAAGUACCGAUAUAAUUUAUACAUUUAAUAUACUAAAUAAAGUUGAAAUAAUGGAUAAACUACGACCCCCAUCUAUUUUAUGUAAAAAUAAGUAUUAUAAAACUAUUUAUAUAAUAAACUAGAACUAACAAUAAUGACACAGAAAAUAAUCGAUUAAGGAACUCGGCAAACCAUUAUUUCGACUGUUUAACAAAAACAUUGUUCAAUGAAUUGACAUAUUGAAUAAUACCUGCC